ensembl:lncRNA
CACCCAACCUCUCGUGGGUGAGCCUCAUCCAAUCAGUUGAAGCCCUGACUAGGACAAAAGUCUGAGUAAGAGGAAACUCCUGCCUGACUAAUCGAGCUGUCACAUGGGUCUUUUCUAGCCUUUGGACUUGGACUGAAACACUGGCUCUUACUGAGUCUUAAGCCUGCGGAUUUUUGGACUGAAACUUAGACCAUUGGCUGUCCUGGUUCUUGGGCCUUUGGACUCAUGCUGGAACUAGAGGGUGCUGAGAAGUCUACUAUGGACACACGGGCAGAGUUCCAGGUUCAUCACCCUCCUCCAGAGUUCCAGGUUCAUCACCCUCCUCCAGAGUUCCAGGUUCAUCACCCUCCUCCUCCUGGCUCCGCAGCUCAACUCAGCUCAGUAUUUGUUUUCUGAAGUUGAAACAUUUUGCUGUUUUGGGCAGUCACUCCUCCCCAGUAGGCAACCCUCUUGCCCUAGAGUUGAAUUGUCCUGCUUCUUUGUUUCUAACUAGGUAAUUUACUAGUUUCUGGAGGUGGGGCUUCCUGCCGUUGCAGUUACUCUCUGGGCUAGUGCUUACAAUUGAUAUUCUCCCAGGAAGUUACCUGGGAGAUGAGCUACCUCCUUAGCUUAGAAGUCUGGUUGAUUCCUCCCAGGCCUUGACCAACUUCUGCUUUCCUAUUCCAUAACCUUAUUGAUUAAUCAAAACUAUUGCUUACAGCUGCUGCUUAAUGGAUGAUGGCUCUGGAGUUUUUCUGAAUACAAUUAUUUAUUGCUUUAUUGAUGUGCUACUUAUUACUCUGUUAAGUACCAUAGGGUGUUUAAUUAUGUGAAAGGGAAGUGCAAAGGCAGUUGCUGAAAGCUGGAGUUAAAGAGGCCCAGUACCUGAGUUCCUGACAAUAUGUCAUAAAACAGCUUUAAAACACAUGCACGCACAACAGACAAACCUUGUUCCAAAGUUUAACGAGCUUGGAAACAGAAUGGGCUUAGGGAGCUGCCUUGCCACUUUGCCAUCUGUUAUUAGCCAUAGCACAAGCAAUGAAAUCUUGAUAUUUUAAAUGAAAAGACUUUUUUUGCAGGGGGUGAUGCUUUCAUGCCUUUUCUAUUUCUUGCUGUUGAUUGAAGAGUCUGUGCUAAAGGGCACAGCUAGAAUAGCUGAUGGGAC